rfam:Stegodyphus mimosarum contig46644, whole genome shotgun sequence.
GCCUUCGUGGUGUAGUGGUCAGCACGCUCGACGCGUAUUCGAGAGGUCCGUGGUUCGAGUCCCGUCAAAGGCA